rnacentral:rRNA from 1 species
UACAGAGGUCCCGAGCGUUGUUCGGAUUCACUGGGCGUAAAGGGUGCGCAGGUGGGCUGGCAAGUUUGAUGUGAAAGCCCCGGGCUUAACCCGGGAAUGGCAUUGAAUACUGCUGAUCUGGAGGAUCGGAGGGGGGACUGGAAUUCUUGGUGUAGCAGUGAAAUGCGUAGAUAUCAAGAGGAACACCAGUGGCGAAGGCGAGUCCCUGGACGAUACCUGACACUGAGGCACGAAAGCCAAGGGAGCAAACAGG